AUUGAACGCUGGCGGCAUGCUUUACACAUGCAAGUCGAACGGCAGCGCGGGGCAACCUGGCGGCGAGUGGCGAACGGGUGAGUAAUACAUCGGAACGUACCCAGAAGUGGGGGAUAACGUAGCGAAAGUUACGCUAAUACCGCAUACGUUCUACGGAAGAAAGUGGGGGACCUUCGGGCCUCAUGCUUUUGGAGCGGCCGAUGUCUGAUUAGCUAGUUGGUGAGGUAAAGGCUCACCAAGGCGACGAUCAGUAGCUGGUCUGAGAGGACGACCAGCCACACUGGGACUGUGACACGGCCCAGACUCCUACGGGAGGCAGCAGUGGGGAAUUUUGGACAAUGGGCGCAAGCCUGAUCCAGCAAUGCCGCGUGAGUGAAGAAGGCCUUCGGGUUGUAAAGCUCUUUUGUCAGGGAAGAAACGGCCGAGGCUAAUACCUUUGGCUAAUGACGGUACCUGAAGAAUAAGCACCGGCUAACUACGUGCCAGCCGCCGCAGUAA
rnacentral:rRNA from 1 species